rnacentral:rRNA from 1 species
UGCCAGCCGCCGCGGUAAUACGGAGGGUCCGAGCGUUAAUCGGAAUGACUGGGCGUAAAGCGCGCGUAGGUGGUUACUUAAGUUGGAUGUGAAAGCCCCGGGCUCAACCUGGGAACUGCAUCCAAAACUGGGUAACUAGAGUACAGUAGAGGGGGGUAGAAUUUCAGGUGUAGCGGUGAAGUGCGUAGAGAUCUGAAGGAAUACCAGUGGCGAAGGCGGCCCCCUGGACUGAUACUGACACUGAGGUGCGAAAGCGUGGGUAGCGAACAGGAUUAGAUA